GAUGAACGCUGGCGGCGUGCUUAACACAUGCAAGUCGAACGAUGAAGCCCAGCUUGCUGGGUGGUUUAGUGGCGAACGGGUGAGUAACACGUGAGUAACCUGCCCUUGACUCUGGGAUAAGCCUGGGAAACUGGGUCUAAUACUGGAUAUGACUUCUCAUCGCAUGGUGGGGGGUGGAAAGAUUUAUUGGUCUUGGAUGGACUCGCGGCCUAUCAGCUUGUUGGUGAGGUAAUGGCUCACCAAGGCGAGGACGGGUAGCCGGCCUGAGAGGGUGACCGGCCACACUGGGACUGAGACACGGCCCAGACUCCUACGGGAGGCAGCAGUGGGGAAUAUUGCACAAUGGGCGCAAGCCGGAUGCAGCGACGCCGCGUGGGGGAUGACGGCCUUCGGGUUGUAAACCUCUUUCAGUAGGGAAGAAGCGAGAGGGACGGUACCUGCAGAAGAAGCGCCGGCAAACUACGU
rnacentral:rRNA from 1 species